rnacentral:misc_RNA from 1 species
UCUCCGUUGGUGAACCAGCGGAGGGAUCAUUACAGGACUCGCAAGACUCCUACACCCCUGUGAACUUAACUAUAAGCACGUUGCUUCGGCGGGUGUCUCGGAGGGGGUUCUCCCGCCCCGAGACGCUAAACCCGCCGGCAGCCUACUAUACUCUGUCUCUUUGCGUUGGCAUCUCGAGUACAAUCAAACAAGUUAAAACUUUCAACAACGGAUCUCUUGGUUCUG